rnacentral:rRNA from 1 species
UACACUCCUGCGGGAGGCAGCAGUGGGGAAUUUUACGCAAUGGGGGAAACCCUGACGUAGCGACACCGCGUGAGCGAAGAAGCCCUUUGGGGUGUAAAGCUCUGUCAGCUGGAACGAAAACAAUGACGGUACCAGCAGAGGAAGCAUCGGCUAACUACGUGCCAGCAGCCGCGGUAAGACGUAGGAUGCGAGCGUUGUCCGGAUUUAUUGGGCGUAAAGAGUUCGUAGGUGGUUUGUUAAGUUUGGUGUUAAAGAUCGGGGCUCAACCCUGGGACUGCACUGAAUACUGGCAGACUCGAGUGUGGUAGAGGCUAGUGGAAUUCCCAGUGUAGCGGUGAAAUGCGUAGAUAUUGGGAAGAACACCGGUGGCGUAGGCGACUAGCUGGGCCAUAACUGACGCUGAGGAACGAAAGCCAGGGGAGCGAAUGGGAUUAGAAACCCGGGUAGUCCCA